rnacentral:lncRNA from 1 species
CCAUCAAGCUGGCUCAAUAAAAGGGCGGACAAAUGAUACCUCGACCAGACCCCACUUCGGUUCUCGACUAAGAUCAUUCUCCGGUCGACCAUGGACAAACGCUUUCUCCUUUUGGUUGUUGUGUCUUGUAUGCUACUGGUGACGGUGGCUGUAGCAAAAGCAAAGCCUGCAAAAGUAUCACCAAGAGCUGCGGACACAGCAGGUGUAUAUCCUGUAGCAAGGUGGUCAGAAUCAGGACCAGUAAAAAGAUCAGCCAUAGAUGAUAGUUCAGACCUUUCUGAGCGUCUUGAUGCAAGCGAAGAAUGAAGAAUGUUUUUGAUGAAGAAUGUUUUGAGCAAUGAGUCCACAACCUGCUUCCCAGCCUUGUUCCGCCAUCAAGUUCAAGUUGGAAGUAGGUAAGAAAUAGCACACUCCAGAAAACAAAAUAGAAAAUAAAAACUGGUGAUCUA